AUACUUACUUAGCAGGGGAGAUACCAUGAUCAUGAAGGUGGUUUUCCAGGGCAAGGCUUAUCCAUUGCACUCUGGAUGUGCUUAUCCCUUCAAUUUCCCCAAAUGUGGGAAGUCGACUACAUGAUUUGUGGUAGUGAGGGACUGCGUUCAUGCUCUCCCCUG